rnacentral:ribozyme from 14 species
AUAUAUGUGACAAUUCGUUUUUUACCCCUUUUUUUUACUUUUCUCUCUCUCCUCUCAAUAUAUUUUCUGUCUUUUUUUUUGUGUAAAUCUGUAAAUAUUCACUUUAAAAUUUCGGCAAAGUCUCUUUGAAAGAAUGCGGGAAACAAGACAUGUAGAUUUUUUUUUUUUUUUUUUUAAAUGUCUAACAAUUUCUAGAUAUUUAAAA